UUGGCACCUCGAUGUCGGCUCAUCACAUCCUGGGGCUGAAGUAGGUCCCAAGGGUAUGGCUGUUCGCCAUUUAAAGUGGUACGCGAGCUGGGUUUAGAACGUCGUGAGACAGUUCGGUCCCUAUCUGCCGUGGGCGCUGGAGAACUGAGGGGGGCUGCUCCUAGUACGAGAGGACCGGAGUGGACGCAUCACUGGUGUUCGGGUUGUCAUGCCAAUGGCACUGCCCGGUAGCUAAAUGCGGAAGAGAUAAGUGCUGAAAGCAUCUAAGCACGAAACUUGCCCCGAGAUGAGUUCUCCCUGACUCCUUGAGAGUCCUGAAGGAACGUUGAAGACGACGACGUUGAUAGGCCGGGUGUGUAAGCGCAGCGAUGCGUUGAGCUAACCGGUACUAAUGAACCGUGAGGCUUAACCUU
rnacentral:rRNA from 1 species